UGAGCAAUCUGCCCUUCUCUUCGGAAUAAGCGUUGGAAACGACGUCUAAUGCCGAAUACGACCUCCUUUCGCAUGAUCGGAGGUGGAAAGCUCCGGCGGAGAAGGAUGAGCUCGCGGCCUAUCAGCUAGUUGGUGUGGGUAAUGGCCCACCAAGGCGACGACGGGUAGCCGGCCUGAGAGGGUGACCGGCCACACUGGGACUGAGACACGGCCCAGACUCCGUACGGGGAGGNAG
rnacentral:rRNA from 1 species